CCCCCGCAGCCCCCUCCGGCCGCGGGGAGCUCGGGGACCCCCCGCCCCUGCAGGGGGCGAACCAGGGAGCCGGUCCCGGCCCCUCCCGGCAGGAGCGUGUCCUUCCCACUCGUGUCGCUGCCCCGCGGGCUCCAGAGCUGGAGCAGAUCCCGGGACAAGGAGCGCUGCUAGCGGGGUCGGGACACGCUCCUGCCGUCGGGGGGGGGUUAUUACCUGGGGGUCACAAACCCUCCCAGCUCUGCCGCUCCCCGGGAAGAGGCGGGGACGGCUCUGAGAGGCCCCGGCUCGGAGAGGGGGUGGGGCCAGGGCACAGCAUGAGCGGUGCGGGGAGGGUCAGGCUGGCCCCGGGGACCUUCCUUCGAUGGGCUAGAAAAAGCGGAAGCGCCCCCGGGGCAGGCUGGGAGAUGUAGUUCCUGACUCUCCCUGGACCGGAAGUGACGUUGGGUGGGAGAGAACAAGCCGAGUUGCAAACGCGCGCGGGCCGCUCCGGCUCUGCCUGGCUCGCGCGGGGCCGUUGGAGCCUCUCCCGGGGCCGGAGAAGGGUCUGUGACUGAGAUCAGGGCUCCUAUCGUACUGAGCGUGGCCCUGUUCUGCCAGGUGCUGCAGAGACCCCAACUGAGAUCUGGACCCUGUUCUGCCAGGCACUGAAGAGACCCCAGCACCUGGCAUUGGCCACUGAGCU